rnacentral:misc_RNA from 1 species
GCUGGAUUUGGAUCUCCUGCAGAACAGCUUGAGUUUGGAUCUCUUGGGCCAGUGGGUUUCUCAGGUGUAAAUGAGGUAUCAUAUUUAAAUGAGGGAAGUCAAUCGAGUGGGGCAUUUGAGGACCAAAGGUUUCAUGGCAGCUCUGCCCAGCGGGCUUCACCAGAUCAGCCUUCUUCACCUCAUCUUCCGAGGUAGUCAUCAUUCUGUUAAGUACAAGGUUUCUGAAUUGCAG